rnacentral:misc_RNA from 1 species
UUUCCGUAGGUGAACCUGCGGAAGGAUCAUUAUUGUAUAACCGAGGUGCGAGGGCUGUCGCUGACCCGAAAGGUCGUGCACGCCCGAGUGCCCUCACACACAUCCACCUCACCCCUAUGUGCACCACCGCGUGGGUCCCCCUUUGGCUUGUUCGGAGGGGGGCUUACGUUUUCACACAAACUUUGUAUGCAGUGUAGAAUGUAUUUUUUGUUUUUGCGAUCACGCAAUCAAUACAACUUUCAACAACGGAUCUCUUGGCUCUG